GACGAACGCUGGCGGCGUGCUUAACACAUGCAAGUCGAACGGAAAGGCCCUGCUUUUGUGGGGUGCUCGAGUGGCGAACGGGUGAGUAACACGUGAGUAACCUGCCCUUGACUUUGGGAUAACUUCAGGAAACUGGGGCUAAUACCGGAUAGGAGCUCCUGCUGCAUGGUGGGGGUUGGAAAGUUUCGGCGGUUGGGGAUGGACUCGCGGCUUAUCAGCUUGUUGGUGGGGUAGUGGCUUACCAAGGCUUUGACGGGUAGCCGGCCUGAGAGGGUGACCGGCCCACUUGGGACUAGGGACCGGCCCAGGCUCCAAGGGGGGGCAGCAGUGGGGAAAUUUCGAAAAGGGGCGGAAGCCUGAGGCCGCACCGCCGCGUGCGGAAUGACGGCCUUCGGGUUGUAAACCGUUUUCGCCUGAGACGAAGCGGGGGUGACGGGAAUGGGUAAAGAAGCAGCGGCUAACUGCGU
rnacentral:rRNA from 1 species